GAUGAACGCUGGCGGCGUGCCUAAUACAUGCAAGUCGAGCGAACAGACGAGGAGCUUGCUCCCCUGACGUUAGCGGCGGACGGGUGAGUAACACGUGGAUAACCUACCUAUAAGACUGGGAUAACUUCGGGAAACCGGAGCUAAUACCGGAUAAUAUAUUGAACCGCAUGGUUCAAUAGUGAAAGACGGUUUUGCUGUCACUUAUAGAUGGAUCCGCGCCGCAUUAGCUAGUUGGUAAGGUAACGGCUUACCAAGGCAACGAUGCGUAGCCGACCUGAGAGGGUGAUCGGCCACACGGGAACUGAGACACCGUCCAGACUCCUACGGGAGGCAGCAGUAGGGAAUCUUCCGCAAAGGGCGAAAGCCUGACGGAGCAACGCCGAGUGAGUGAUGAAGGUCUUCGGAUCGUAAAACUCUGUUAUUAGGGAAGAACAAAUGUGUAAGUAACUAUGCACGUCUUGACGGUACCUAAUCAGAAAGCCACGGCUAACUACGUG
rnacentral:rRNA from 1 species